AACCUAACCGUCGCCUUCACGCCCUCGCCCUCGCCUUCUCGCCCGCGCCCUUGCCUUCUCGCCCGCGCCCUCGCCUUCUCGCCCGCGCCCUCGCCUUCUCACCCUCACCGCCGCCUUCUCGCCUUACCCGACGCCUUCUUGUCCUCACUGUCGCCUUCUCAUCCUCACCGUCUCGUCCUCAACCUAACCGUCGCCUUCACGCCCUCGCCCUCGCCUUCUCACCCUCACCGUCGCCUUCUCGCCCUCGCCCUCGCCUUCUCGCCCGCGCCCUCGCCUUCUCGCCCGCGCCCUCGCCUUCUCACCCUCACCGCCGCCUUCUCGCCUUACCCGACGCCUUCUUGUCCUCACUGUCGCCUUCUCAUCCUCACCGUCUCGUCCUCAACCUAACCGUCGCCUUCACGCCCUCGCCCUCGCCUUCUCACCCUCACCGUCGCCUUCUCGCCCUCGCCCUCGCCUUCUCGCCCGCGCCCUCGCCUUCUCGCCCGCGCCCUCGCCUUCUCGCCCGCGCCCUCGCCUUCUCACCCUCACCG
rnacentral:lncRNA from 1 species